ensembl:Y_RNA Y_RNA Y RNA
CACCGGUCCGAAACUAGCGAAUUAUCUCAAUUGAUUAUUCAGUCAGUUACAGAUCCAACUCCUUGUUCUAUUCUUUCCCUCAUUCUCACUACUGCACUUGACUAGUCUUAA